rnacentral:rRNA from 1 species
UUAAAUUGAAGAGUUUGAUCAUGGCUCAGAUUGAACGCUGGCGGCAGGCCUAACACAUGCAAGUCGAACGGUAACAGGAAACAGCUUGCUGUUUUGCUGACGAGUGGCGGACGGGUGAGUAAUGUCUGGGAAACUGCCUGAUGGAGG